AUUGAACGCUGGCGGCAUGCUUUACACAUGCAAGUCGAACGGUAACAGGCCUUCGGGUGCUGAUGAGUGGCGGCCGGGUGCGUAAUGCUUCGGAACGCGUCCAGAGGUGGGUGUUAACGCAGCGAAAGCUGUGCUAAUACCGCCUGUGAUCUGAGGCUGACAGCGGGUGACCGCACAGCAUCGUUUGGCCUUGCGCCUUUGAAGCGGCCGAUGUCGGAUUAGGUAGUUGGUGGGGUAAAGGCCUACCAAGCCGACGAUCUGUAGCUGGUCUGAGAGGAUGACCAGCCACACUGGAACUGAGACACGGCCCAGACUCCUACGGGAGGCAGCAGUGGGGAAUUUUGGACAAUGGGCGCAAGCCUGAUCCAGCAAUGCCGCGUGCGUGAAGAAGGCCUUCGGGUUGUAAACCGCUUUUGUACGGAACGAAAAGGAGCAGGCUAAUACCUGGGUCUGAUGACGGUACCGAAAGAAUAAGCACCGGCUAACUACGUG
rnacentral:rRNA from 1 species